UUCAUAGCCAUUAUAAAUAUUACUUGUAAGUUCUGUAUAAUGUGUUCUGCAAGACUGUGCAACAGUUGAGUUCCUAUUAAGCCAGUGCAAUAUUCUCAAAGGCUUGUGGUGUCUGCAUAAUGGGGAAAGUCACAACUGUAGGUGAUACCAAGAGGAGAUGGCCACUUUCUUACUCUUUUCUCCAUCUGUGUCUCAUCCCAGUGAGGAAUCUGAAUUGACAAAUCAUCAAUGAGCCUGAUGGAGAAGCACCAAGUAGAAUUACAAUGUUGGUUCUGUUCCCAUGGAUAGUUCACAGUUAAUCCCAGUGAAAGUUGAAGAAUGCUCAAAGAGAAAAAUAUAUAUGAAAAGAGAUAUUUCAUAGUUGUCACCAUGAACAUUUGCUCAUGUUUGUUGCUGUGAAUCUGUGACUCCAAUAUUUCUGUCCCCUAGGACUGUUUCAUGGAACACUGUUCUUGCUGCUAUUCUGGUCCCUACCCCAUGGACAUUUUAUUUGUUGGAAUCUUCCACAGAAUAUUGCACUAAACAUUCACUAGAGAAACAUCCUACCCCCCAUAUAGAUACAUGUUAUCGAAAUACAUAUGAAUUUUGUCUCCAUUUUGUGCCUGUCUUUUGUCCAGACUCCUUUCUUAAUGGAACUUCCUGUCAUUGGGGUUUUUCGUAACUACUUUCAAAUUGGAGAUCACAUCCUACUUCAUAGUUUAUGGAACAUAGAUGCCAACAGACAAUAUAUUUUCCUUUGUUGUUAUCUCUCAUUAUCUUUUUACUUUGUU
rnacentral:lncRNA from 1 species